rnacentral:misc_RNA from 1 species
AAGUCGUAACAAGGUUUCCGUAGGUGAACCUGCGGAAGGAUCAUUAACACGUAUCCAACGUUAAACCCCCCUGUGAACUUUUAUACUUGCUCUCUUAACUGAUGGAAUUGCAAUCCCUGGUAAAUCAUUGUUAAACAGAUUUUGAUUCAGGGACCUCAGUUUGGCAGUUAGGAUUGAGCGAUCGUUGCAAGUGGCCUGGUUUCCCCAAGCAGUCAGUGUCUGAAAGUGGCAUUGAUUGUGUAAGGAUAACGCUUCUCCGAUUCCUGUAGACCGUACACUCGGGCCGGAGCUUUGCCAAAGGGUCCCCAUGCCCCCUAAUAACCCCACAGUUUAAUGUGAAGCUCAAUGUAUUACAUUGGGUAAACAAACCGAACAACUGUUAACAAUGGAUAUCUUGGUUCUC